rnacentral:rRNA from 1 species
UGAGACCUACGGGGGGCAGCAGUAGGGAAUUUUCGUCAAUGGGCGCAAGCCUGAACGAGCGAUGCCGCGUGAGUGAAGAAGGCCUUCGGGUCGUAAAGCUCUGUUGCGGGGGAAAAAAGGCAGCAUCAGGAAAUGGGUGCUGACUGAUGGUGCCCCGCCAGAAAGUCACGGCUAACUACGUGCCAGCAGCCGCGGUAAUACGUAGGUGGCGAGCGUUAUCCGGAGUGACUGGGUGUAAGGAGUUGCGUAGGUGGCAUAAUAAGUAGCUAGUGAAAUCUGGUGGCUCAACCAUUCAGACUAUUAGC